rnacentral:rRNA from 1 species
AGCGAACGCUGGCGGCAGGCUUAACACAUGCAAAUCGAGCGGGCAUCCUUGUGGUGUCAGCGGCAGACGGGUGAGUAACGCGUGGGAACGUGCCCUUCGGUUCGGAAUAACUCAGGGAAACUUGAGCUAAUACCGGAUACGCCCUUUUGGGGAAAGGUUUACUGCCGAAGGAUCGGCCCGCGUCUGAUUAGCUAGUUGGUGAGGUUAUGGCUCACCAAGGCGACGAUCAGUAGCUGGUCUGAGAGGAUGAUCAGCCACACUGGGACUGAGACACGGCCCAGACUCCUACGGGAGGCAGCAGUGGGGAAUAUUGGACAAUGGGGGCAACCCUGAUCCAGCCAUGCCGCGUGAGUGAUGACGGCCUUAGGGUUGUAAAGCUCUUUUCUCCGGGACGAUAAUGACGGUACCGGAGGAAUAAGCCCCGGCUAACUUCGUG